GUCUACUUCUUAGUCAGUUUCCUGUCUCAGUUUAUGUCCUGGUCAGUUUCCUGUUUCAGUCUACUUCCUGGUCAGUGUCCUGUCUCGGUCUACUUCCUGGUCAGUGUCCUGUCUCAGUCUACUUCUUAGUCAGUUUCCUGUCUCAGUUUAUGUCCUGGUCAGUUUCCUGUUUCAGUCUACUUCCUGGUCAGUGUCCUGUCUCAGUCUAUGUCCUGGUCAGUGUCCUGACUAACGUCUCCUCCUCUUUCAGGGCUAUAACUGGGGCCAUGAUAAGAACGUGGUGACCAUCUUCAGUGCUCCUAACUACUGCUACCGCUGUGGAAACCAGGCAGCCAUCAUGGAACUGGACGACACUCUGAAAUACUCUUUCCUUCAGUUUGACCCCGCCCCCCGCCGCGGCGAGCCCCAUGUGACCAGACGCACUCCUGACUACUUCCUGUGAAUGUCCAAAGCCAUCCCUGUCCAUCAUCCACGAAGCUCCGCCCACCUGCCUGCCCCUCCCCCCACCUCCACCUCCUCAUUUUGGAUGGAAAGAAGAUAUUAAUAAUAAUAACGAUGAUUAUACUGUACCAGGGAGAGUAGACGCAACCGAUUGGCUGAACGAAUCCGAGAUUUUAACGAGAAAAAGAGCGAACCUUAACGAGCGGCGCCCUCUACAGUCGUGUUUUCAAUAUGCUGUCUUUAAUGCUGUGCUUCUGGGGAAAAACAUGUACAACUACGAGCUGUUUUCUUUUUUGUGUUUCUUACAUGUUUGAAAACGAUAAAAUAAAACUACCAACGUGGACCAAAUGUGCCAUAUUCUGAUCCUUUACCAUAUGUACAACGCGCAGGUUUUUCCUUUUCUUUUCUGUUUUUUUUUUCUGUUUUUCUUUCAGUUUUUUUUCUUAAGACCAGCACUAUCUCAUACCUACCUGACGUCACCACACCACACAUCUCAUGGCAUAUGUGCUUUUUUCUGUUGCAAGACGAUUUCAAAACAAUAAAAAGACGAAAAAAAAAGAGGAAAAAAGUUUGCUUCAAGUAGUCCAGCUGUCAGUUUUAGCUGUCCAGGCUGCAGCCGGUGGUCAUCUCAGCAAGUAUAUUACUGUAAUUUGAAUAAAGACAACAGACGUAUGAAAUAAAAUGUCCUAUUGACAAACUA